GCAUUGAUGAGGAGUCCAACCAUAGGACGAAACGGCCGUCCAGUGC
rfam:Schistosoma haematobium scaffold517_38, whole genome shotgun sequence.